GUGGUUAGAGCGUUGGACUAGUAACCAAAAGGUUGCAAGUUCAAAUCCCCGAGCCUACAAGGUACAAAUCUGUCGUUCUGCCCCUGAACAGGCAGUUAACCGACUGUCCCUAGGCCGUCAUUGAAAAUAAGAAUUUGUUCUUAAAACCUCUUAAGGCUAACAACAGGAAAUGCAAAUGCACAACGCCAAAUGCUAAUAGUACUCGCUUAAAGCUACACUCGUUGUGAAUCUAGCCAACAUGUCAGAUUUUUAAAAUGCUUUUCGGCGAAAGCAUGAGAAGCUAUUAUCUGAUAGCAUACCUGAAGGGAACGUAAACAAAAGAAUUAGCGUAGCUGGCGCUACACAAAACACAGAAAUAAAAUAUAAAACAUUCAUUACCUUUGACGAGCUUCUUUGUUGGCACUCCUAUAUGUCCCAUAAACAUCACAAUUGGGUAUUUUUUUUUAUUAAAUCCAUCCAUGUAUACCCAAAAUGUCCAUUUAUGAAGCCCGUCUGAUCCAGGAAAAAGCAGCUUUCCAAAACGCAACGUCAUUUUUUUAAAUUAAAAAAGUUGCCUAUAAACUUUGACAAAACACUUCAAACUACUUUUGUAAACCAACUUUAGGUAUUAGUAAACGUUAAUAAUCGAUCAAAUUGAUCACGGGGCGAUCUGUAUUAAAUAGCAAGUCUUGAAAUCAUGGUCCAUAUUCUCUCUUUCAAAACUUCCUCCUGUGUACUCGAUGACAGGAAGUGCCUAUUUCUCAUUUCACCAAGGAUUAACUUCAACCCAGUUGCCAAGACUGGCAACAUCGUGUGGAAGCUGUAGGCAUUGUAAACUGGUCGCUAUCUAUUUUCCCUUGCCAUAGACAAUACAGGCAACUGGCGGCGGGAUAUUUUUUAUGUUUUGGGUGAACAGUUUUCCUUGGGCUUUUGCCUGCUAAACACAUUCUGUUAUAGUCACAGACAUGAUUUAACUAGUUUUAGAAACUUCAGAGUGUUUUCUAUCUACACAUACUAAUCAUAUGCAUGUACUAUAUUCCUGGCAUGAGUAGCAGGACGUUGAAAUUUUGCGCGAUUUUUAACAAAACGUUGAAAAAAAAGACCCGAUCAGUUCUUAACUGACUUGCCUAGUUAAAUAAAGGUAAAAAAAAAAAAAAGUUAUUUUGCUCCUUUGCACCCCAGUAUCUCUACUUGCACACGGCUAUCACUUCAGUGUUUAAUUGCUAUAUUGUAAUUAUUUCACCACUUUGGCCUAUUUAUUGCCUUACCUCUUAUGCUACCUCAUUUGCACACACUGUAUAUAGACUUUUUUUAUUUUGUAUUAUUGACUGUGUUUGUUCCAUAUGUAACUCUGUUGUUUGUGUCGUACUGCUUUGCUUUAUCUUGGCCAGGUCGCAGUUGUAAAUGAGAACUUGUUCUCAACUAGCCUACCUGGUUAAAUAAAGGUGAAAUAAAUAACAGUAAAAAAAUUCAGACCCUUUACUCAGUACUUUGUUGAAGCACCAUUGGCAGCGUUUUACAGCCUCGGAUCUUCUAAGGUAUGACACUACAAGCUUGGCUCACCUGUAGUUGGAGUUUCUCCCAUUUCUCUGCAGAUCCUUUCAAGCUCUUAGGUUGAGAGCGUUGCUGCACGGCUUUUUUCACGUCUCUCCAGAGAUGUUCGAACGGGUUCAAGUCCGGGCUCUGGUUGGACCACUCAAGGACAUUCAGACUCGUCCUGGAGUCACUCCUGCGUUGUCUUGGCUGUGUCCUUAGGGUUGUUGUCCUGUUGGAAGGUUAACCUUCACCCAAGUCUGAGGUCCUGAGGAUAUCUCUGUACUUUGCUCCGUUCAUCUUUCCCUCGAUCCUGACUAGUCUCCCAGUGCCUUCCACUGAAAAACAUCCCCACAGCUUGUUGCUGCUACAUGCUUCACCGUAGGGAUGGUGCCAGGUUUCCUCCAGAUGUGACACUUGGCAUUCAGGCCAAAGAGUUCAAUCUUGGUUUCAUCAGACCAGAGAAUCUUGUUUAUCAUGGUGUGAGAGUCCUUUAGGCCAGGCAGCCAACUCUAGGAAGAUUCUUGGUGGUUCCGAACUUCCAUUUUAAGGAUGAUGGAGGCCACUGUGUUCUUGGGGACCUUCAAUGCUGCAGACAUUUUGUGGUACCCUUCCCCAGAUCUGUGCCUCGACACAAUCCUGUCUCUGAGCUCUACGGACAAUUCCUUCGACCUCAUUGCUUGGUUUUUGCUCUGACGUGCACUGUUAACACUGGGACUUUAUAUAUACACGUGUGCCUUUCAAAAUCAUGUCCAAUCAAUUGAAUUUACCACAGGUGGACUCAAAGUUGUAGAAACAUCAAGGAUGAUCAAUUGAAACUGGAUGCACCUGAACAAAAUUUCUAUUCUCAUAGCAAAAUAUAUAUAUUUUUAGUACAUUUCUAACCAUGUCUAAAUCUGUUCACUUUGUCAUUAUGGGGUAUUGUGUGGAGAUUGAGUAAACAUUUAUUUAAUCAAUUUUAGAAUAAGGCUGUAACGUAAUAAAAUGUAGAAAAAGGGAAGGGGUCUGAAUACUUUAACAUUUCAACCAAUCAAUUGGUCAUUGGUCGAGAGAACAGACUUUCGGUUGACCAAUUUCUUUUUGUCGGGGACGGCCCUAGUCUGGUUUUGUUUUAUUUAUUUAUACUUGUUUUUGUAUUGUGCAGGGCAAUUUUUUUUUAAAAUAGGACUUCCCUGUUUUUUUUAUUUUAUUUAUUUUAUUUUUUUUCACCUUUAUUUAACCAGGUAGGCUAGUUGAGAACAGGUUCUCAUUUGCAACUGCGACCUGGCCAAGAUAAAGCAUAGCAGUGUGAACAGACAACACAGAGUUACACAUGGAAUAAACAAUUAACAAGUCAAUAACACAGUAGAGAAAAAAGGGGAGUCUAUAUACAAUGUGUGCAAAAGGCAUGAGGAGGUAGGCGAAUAAUUACAAUAUUGCAGAUUAACGAUCAGAUGAUCAUGUACAGGUAGAGAUAUUGGUGUGCAAAAGAGCAGAAAAGUAAAUAAAUAAAAAUAAAAACUGUGGGGAUGAGGUAGGUGAAGAUGGGUGGGCUAUUUACCAAUAGAUUAUGUACAGCUGCAGCGAUCGGUUAGCUGCUCAGAUAGCUGAUGUUUGAAGUUGGUGAGGGAGAUAAAAGUCUCCAACUUCAGCGAUUUUUGCAAUUCGUUCCAAUCACAGGCAGCAGAGUACUGGAACGAAAGGCGGCCGAAUGAGGUGUUGGCUUUAGGGAUGAUCAAUGAGAUACACCUGCUGGAGCGCGUGCUACGGAUGGGUGUUGCCAUCGUGACCAGUGAGCUGAGAUAAGGCGGAGCUUUGCCUAGCAUGGCCUUGUAGAUGACCUGGAGCCAGUGGAUCUGGCGACGAAUAUGUAGCGAGGGCCAGCCGACUAGAGCAUACUGUGGCGAAAUCUGCUCGGAGCCUUCACGGUGCACUGCCACUUUAAGAGCGCAUGAGCAGUAAGGAAGGAGGCGAUAAAGAGUUCGUUCAGCUCUUUGGGGAGGAGCUCUUGGGUGGCGCGACAGUUUGAUUGUGUGUGCUGUGCUGCAGAGGUGUUUUGUUUUCAGCGUUUGUAGUUUAUAAUGUAGUUAACUCAAUCAUCGGUGUGAUCGCUUUAGAUCGUGGUUGUUUUUGUUUGGGACCGCGCCCGUUAUGGAUCGCAUGGAUUCGUAGCAACAUUGUUGCGAAGCUUUAACAUACAAACCAACAAACCAUCGGACAGUCAGACGGUACACGGCAGGCCUGAAGACCACAGCUAAGAUUUCUCUUUUUCUCUCUCUUUCUCUUCCCUCUCGUUCCAGUGCUUUACCCUGCAACAGACUCUCUAUUUUUCAAAUGCACUUCCCCUUGAAGUUCAUUAGAGCUGGACUAUUAUUGCCCUGCCAGAAGUAUUUUGAUGGACAUUUUAGUUAAAGGGAGGUUGCUUGCAAGUUGUGCAUUGUUAUGUGAACUGUAUUGAGGUGAGGUGUACUAAUGACAUGUGGCCGAGAAGACUGGACAUUUUUAAGGCCUUUGUUGUGUCGAUGAACACCCCCCCAUUCAUACCCUCUGCACUCACCCACUAGAAAAUAAUACAGAUUAUUGCAAAUCCUAUGUUGAUGACUGGGUUCGUUCUUGUAUGAAGUUGCUGUUGAAUUGCUCUGCCAUUAUUAGUAUUAGUAUUAUUGUAUGAGGUAUUCUUGUUUGGGUUACCCCUGUGCUGUGAUGUGGGUUUUAUAUGGUGUGUAUUCUUGUUUGGGUUACCCCUGUGCUGUGAUGUGGGUUUUAUAUGGUGUGUAUUCUUUUUUCUCUCCACUGGCUAUCUGGUAAACAGGCUACACUCUAGGCAGUCUCUUUUGCUGAUGUGUGUGGGUCUGGUAGUGGUACUCUCUCUAUUCUACUCUUUUCCUUUCGGCAUGGUUAAUACCUGCCUGGCGCCCGAACAAAAUCUUUCUUUACCCCUCUCUAAUAAAUACCGCUACAGAAUGCAUACAAGUCGCAGUGGUGGGUAGUAUAAGGUGCUUUAGUGACAAAACGGAUGGCACUGUGAUAAACUGCAUCCAGUUUGCUGAGAAGAGUGUUGGAAGCGAUUUUGUAGAUGACAUCGCCGAAGUCGAGGAUCGGUAGGAUAGUCAGUUUUACUAGGGAAAGCUUGGCAGCGUGAGUGAAGGAGGCUUUGUUGCGGAAUAGAAAGCCGACUCUUGAUUUGAUUUUGGAUUGGAGAUGUUUGAUAUGGGUCUGGAAGGAGAGUUUGCAGUCUAGCCAGACACCUAGGUACUUAUAGGCGUCCACAUAUUCAAGGUCGGAACCAUCCAGUGUGGUGAUGCUAGUCGGGCAUCACCACACUUUUAUUUUAAUUUUUUAUCUUUAUUUCAGAAGUGGUAGUAGACGGUGGAAAAAGUACUUUAUUGUCAUACUUGAGUAAAAGUAAAGAUGCCUUAAUAGAAAAUUACAUAAGUAAAAGUGAGUCACCCAGUAAAAUACUAUUUGAGUACAAGUCUAAACGUAUUUGGUUUUAAAUUCACUUAAAUAUCAAAAGUGAAUGUAAUUGAUAAAAUAUUCUUAUGUAUCAAAGUAAGUGUAAAUCAUUGCUAAUUCCUUAUUAAGCAAACCAGACGGCACAAUUUUGAUGUUUUAAAAAUGUAUUUGCGGCUUGCCAGAGGCACUUUCCAACACUCACAUCAUUUACAAACUAAACCUGUAAUUUUCAUCAUAGGUACACUUCAACUAUGACAGACAAAAUGAGAGAAAAUAAAUCCAGAAAAUCACAUUGUAGGAUUUUUAAUGAAUUUAUUUGCAAAUUAUGGUGGAAAAUAAGUAUUUGGUCAAUAUACCCUUUGUUGGCAAUGACAGAGGUCAAACGUUUUCUGUAAGUCUUCAAGGUUUUCACACACUGUUGCUGGUAUUUUGGCCCAUUCCUCCAUGCAGAUCUCCUCUAGAGCAGUGAUGUUUUGGGGAUUUUUUUUUCUCAUUUUGUCUGUCAUAGUUGAAGUGUACCUAUGAUGAAAAUUACAGGCCUCUCAUCUUUUUAAGUGGGAGAACUUGCACAAUUGGUGGCUGACUAAAUACUUUUUUGCCCCAUUAUAUACAAUAGUUGAAUAGGAUGGCAUUUACUAGAGUACAGAAUUUACAUAGGAAAUUAGAAAACAAUAUUAAAAAUGACCAGUGUUCCAUUAUUAAAGUGGCCACUGAUUCUAUGUCUGUACAUAGGGCAGCAGUCUCUAAGGUGCAGGGUUGAGUAGCCGAGUGGUAGCCUGCUAGUGACAGUGACAGCCGGGUGGUAGCCUGCUAGUGACAGUGACAAGUUCAGGGCGGGGUACUGGGUGGAGGCUGGCUAGUGAUGGCUAUUUAACAGUCUGAUGGCCUUGAGAUUGAAAAACAGCUUCUGUCUCUCGAUCCCAGCUUUGAUGCACCUGUACUGACCUUGCCUUCUGGAUGAUAGCGGGGUGAACAGGCCGUGGCUCGGGUGGUUGUCUUUUGGUCUUCCUGUGACAGCUGGUGCUGUAGGUGUCCUGGAGGGCAGGCAGUGUGCCCCCGGUGAUCCUUUGGGCAGACUGCACCACCCUCUGUAGAGCCCAUGCGGUUGCUAGUGGUGCAGUUGCCGUACCAGGCGGUGAUUCAGCCCGGCAGGAUGCUCUCAAUGGUGCAUCUGUAAGAGUUUGCGUCUUAGGGGCCAAGCCAAAUUUAUUCAGCCUCCUGAGGUUGAAGACACGCUGUUGCACGGCCUUCACCACUUUGUCUGUGUGGCUGGACAAUUUUUCAGAUUGUCAGUAAUGUGUACGGCAAGGAACAUAAAGCUUUUCACCUUCUCCACUGCGGCCCUGUAGAUGUGGUGAAACUUCCACGUCCGGUUGUGAACAACACAUAAGCUAAUUCAAACAAAAAACACUAUUUUUCAUUGGACAUCAAUGCACGUGUGAUAGAGCAGCAGAGGAUGCACUACGAUUUUUUUUUUUGUACCUUGAUGCUUCUCUCCACUGUCUUAAACAAAACAAAGACAGCAAAUGCUCCUGGGUGCAGCCAGUGGUGCCGUUUCCCCUAAUGCAGCUUUAAAGGGAUAGUGCAAGUGUGCUGCCAUCCUGUUAGAAGGUAACAGAUUAUUUUAUUACAAUGGUUAAAUUGGAUUUUCAUUGUUUUCAAUGGUGUUAUUUGCCCCCUAGUGGCGCUUUCUGGUACUUAGAAAGACGACACAAACAGGAAGUACAGAAUUUGUUUUGCACGCUUAGAAGCAGCUACAAACAACGCUACGGUGCAGGUCUUUCAAUGUAGUUAUUUCUUGUGCUUGAGCCCGCUGUGAUGUUUUUUCACUAUUCUGCCCUUGAGUUGCGUACCCAUGCAAAACUAGACAGAUAGCUAACAACUAAGUCUUCAAUAAAACUCCCAAGGCGUGACUUUUCUUGAAUGAAUAUAUUGAAAACGUUUAUGUUGUGAAACUGCAAAAUACAGAAAAGAAUAUACUUUAGUGUUCAAUUCACACCGACAUACUGUAGCUGUACAUUAAACAUUUGAAGUUGCAUAAAUACAAAAGCACGCGCUAAGGUACCAUGCAUCUGGCAUGAUGCCAAACCAUAUAGCUAAUUGUUAACCAUAUGGUAAUUGGCUCCUUUCAUUACUCUAAUAAUGUAUAACCAUCUAUGUGGAAUAACAAAGCAUAUUACACUAGAAACAGUAACAAAACUACAGUAUUGUAUAUUUUACAAUUCGUUUGCAUGACGCAUGAGCAAAGUAAUACAGCUAACGACAUACAUUAAAGGCAUUGCAAUUUGUGAGUAAA